rnacentral:lncRNA from 1 species
GGUAAUUACAUAGUAUUGAGUAAAUUACCCUGUGCUCUACAGUAGGUCCUUGUUUACUGAUCUGUUUUAUAUACACCAGUGUUACAUACCCUCUGACAGCUUCGCUUUGAAUGGUUGUAUGACGUUGUAUCUUAUGGUCGAGUCCCCAAUGUUGGACAUUUAGGUUGUUUCUCAUUUUUUGAUGCUGUAAUCAGUUCUGUCAUGAUUUGCCCCUGUAGUAUAACUUUUCAUAUGUGAUUGAUUAUAUCCUAGGGUUAAAUUCCUAAAUGUGGGUGCCGGGUUUGACCAGCCAGCUCAUCAAAGGCCUUGAAUGCCCAACAGAAAGAUCGCAGUGACAAUUGUUGAGGUGGGAAGGAAUCCGGCAAAUAGCGCCUCCUUCUGUACACUGGUUCUAAUGUAGCUGAGGUGGACAAUAGGCUAUGGUGGGGAGAUGGAGAGGAAAAUACUGCUAUUAUUACGGUUCAAGACUAGUUAGGAGGAGUUCCCAUUGUGGCCGACUAGUAUCCACGAGGAUACAGGUUCAAUCCCUGGCCUCGCUCAGUGGGGUAAGGAUCCAGCAUUGCUGUGGCUGUGUCGUAGGCUGUUGGCUACAGCUCUAAUUUGACCCCUAGCCGAGGAACCUCCAUAUGCCACAAGUGCAGCCCUAAAAAGCAGGAAAAAAAAAAAAAGACUAGUUUGAGAACAUGACUUAGAUGUGCAGCUACAAAGGACUUCCUACUGUUGGACCCUGCAAUUAAUCAUGGGUAAGCACCUACUUGUGACUCCCGGGCUAUGCUAGCAGAUCGCAGACCUCGCCCUGGGAAACUGUGGCAGAGCAGGAGUUCAGCAGAGGCUCUCUUCCUGUGGGCAGCUGGCUUCCUGGGCGAAGGUGGGAGGAGGAGCUGAACUCUGCCUGCCCAGCUCCUCCUCCCAAACUCACUAACCAGAUGAGUCAUUCUACCUCCCCAGAGAGGGAGUAAGUAAGAGAGUAAAGAAAAGCCAAGAGUGUUAUACAAAUGAUGUCCCUCCACCUGCCAGGGAACAACAAGAGAGGGUUGUAAGCGUUCUCUGGUAUAAUUAUAAAAAUGAUAGCUAAUUUGUAUGGAGUCUUACACUAGGCUUUUUGCAUGCAUCUUCUCCUUUGAUCCUUCUAACAAUGAAAAUAUUCUGGCCAUGUCUAUCUCGUAAAUGAGGAAACAGGCUUAGAGAAUUAAGCGCUAUGUCCCAGAUAUCUCCUAGCUGGUAUGCAGAGGAGCUGGGAUUUGAACCCAGGCAGCCUGUCCGUCAUUAUCAGUCACUAUGAAUCUUUCUUCCACCAUCAGUGUCAUCUGACCUUUGAAAGGUCGACAGCCCCUCAACUUAAAGGGAGAGUCAGCUGAGAGCCAGACCUGCCAGCUUGUGAGUGUCCCCAGGUUGAAAUGGCAUGCCCCUCCCUGGCAGACCUUCUGACCGGCCCUGUGCCCAUGAAAUUCACUAAAUUGCUUUGGAAAGGACCACUUUAACCAAGCAUCCUGGAUUAUGAGGAGCAGCGAUUAUGAUGGACUGCACACGGGGACCUUGACAAGUGUCCUUGCUUCACAGAGGACUCAGAGACACACGCAAGUUCACAACGUGAGGUUUCUGAUGAUUCCGUUUUAUCUUAAGAUCUCUGCAACUCAUUAAGGAUUUGCUUUGAUUUAGGCAGAAAAUAAUGAACCUGUUAAAGAAAAUUAUUUUCAAUUAGAAAGAAAACAUGUAAUUCGUGGGGAUGGGGUGAGAACACUAAUUAUACUUUUAAUUGUGUCUAUUGCCCUUUGGGGUAAACUCUAAGGAAUUGGGUAAAGAAAGAGAAACUGAAUUUUUCUUUAAGUGGUUUUCCAUUGUUCCAGGCAAUUCUCCAAAGAACAGUCACCUCCAUGGUAACCCAUGUUCAGUUUUAAUUGCUUUACAAGCAGAAGCUAGGCUUUUUUGUUUUUUAAACAAGCGGUUUUGGUGUUUCUUUAAUUGUAUGUGCUUAUAAUUCUUUUAUUCUUUAAACAUUGGCUGAGGUUUACCUGGAAACUUAUAGACCUUGAUGCUUAUGCAUCAGUAUAUCUGAUUGGUAAAAAUGUUAGUGAAGAAAUAUGAGAUAAUGACGGAGAACAUGGGUUCUGGAGUUUCCAUUCUUGAGGUUCACAGACGACUUUACCUUUUACUCGCUGUGUGAUCUUUGGCAAGUUACUUAGCCUCUCUGUGCUUUAGUUUCUUGUCUAUGAAAUGGGCAUAACACAGCACCCCCAUCAUAGUUGUUAGAAGGGUUCAAUGACUGUUAGUCAGGAUGGGCUAAGUUAUGCUGCAGUAACAAAUCCCAAAUCUCAGAAGGUUGAUGCAAUCAACAUUUAUUUCUCACUCAUGCAAAGUCCUCCAAAGAUCUGGAUGAUUCCCAUUGUGGCUGGCUCAACACAUUCCAGGCUGCUUCAAUUUUACAGCUCCCUCAUAGCAUCCGGCUUCCAUGCUUGGUACAGCAGAGAAGACAGAUGAUAGGGAAUUAUGUCCUGGCUCUCAAAGGCUUCGACAGGCAGUGACACAAAUCACUUCUGCUUGUAUUUCAUGGGGGAAAGCAAACUGCCUGGCGAUGCAUAAAUUCAAGGUGGCAGAAAGGGCCCGGAAGCAGAGAAACCAGGAAUAUGGAUGGGCAGCAGGAUGUCCACCAGCAUAUGCAUAGUGCCUGUUAGAAAGAAGCAUGAAAUAAAUGUAAGCUAUCGUUGCUGAAGGCUGGCACUGCCAAAAUGUAAUUUUUUUUUUUGUCUUUUUAUGGCCACGCCCGUGGCAUAUGGAGGUUCCCAAGCUAAGGGUUGAAUCAGAGCUAUAUCUGCUGGCCUAUUCCAUAGCCACAGCAAUGCGGGAUCCGAGGUGUGUCUGCGACCUAUACCACAGCUCUUGGCAAUGCCGGAUCCUUAACCCACUGAACAAGGCCAGGGAUCGAACCUUGGUCCUCAUGGAUGCCAGUCAGAUUUGUUUCCACUGAGCCAUGAUGGGAACUCCUAAUUUUAAUUUUAAUUGAGGCUGUUUUUUUCUUUCGAGAUUUGGCCUAAAGAAUAACUUCCGCAUGUUCAGAAGCCCAAACAGUGGGUUUGCUUUAGUGUUCUGGCACUUAGUAGAUGGCACACAUUUGAAGGGUAAUAUUAGUAUGUUUGAGAACAUGGGCUUAGAGUCAGGUGGACUUCAUCUGAAUCUCAGGACCAACACCUAUUGAAGGAGUGUGAUGUUGAUGAGAUGAUUGAUUUAACCUUUCCUGGACUCCGUGACCUCUGGGGUCAUCUUUGUAAUUUUGUUCUUCAUUUUCCAUUAUGUCCUUUUCUAAUAGCCAUAUUUUUCAUUAUUUUAUCUUUUAUGGCAACAUUGCCUCACAGCCAAUUAGUGAUGCAGCGGCAUUGUUUUAUACCGCUUUGUUAGUGGCAAAGAUAUUUAGGGGAAAGUGGCUUAUAGAGAUAAUACGGGAUAAGGAUUAACAAUUUCCUGAACCCUCAGCUUGCUCAUCUGCAAAAUGGGAAUAAAAAAUUAACUUUCUAGAGCUUUUCCCAUCACAUACGUGGACACUUAAAACACAGAGUAAACACCAAAACAUAUCUUUUUUUGCCCUCUUCUUUCCCCCUGCUUCAUAAUUAUGCCAGAUUGUAGGAGUUCUCACUGUGGCUCAGGGGUAAUGAAACAGACUAGUAUCCAUGAGAAUGCAGGUUUGAUCCCUGGCCUCGCUUAGUGGGUUAAGGAUCCAGCGCUGCAGUGAGCUGUGGUGUAUGUUGCAGCCAUGGCUCGGAUUCUGCAUUGCUGUGUCUAUGGUGUAGGUGGGCAACUGCAGCUCUGACUUAACCCCUAGACUGGGAACUUCCAUAAGCCACACAUGAGGCCCUAAAACACAAAUAAUAAUGAUAAUGAUAAUGAUAACAAUAAUAAUAGUAAUGGUAGAUUAUGAUCCUGACCUGGCUGUAGGAGAGCCAUUUGGGAUAUUUUCAUUUUGUUUGUUUGUUUGUUUAGGGCCACAUCUGUGGCAUAUGGAGGUUCCCAGGGUAAGGGUCAAAUUGGAGCUGUAGCAGAUGGCUGUUGCCACAGCAACGCCAGAUACAAGCUGAGUCUGUGACCUACAUCACAGCUCACAGCAAUGCUGGAUCCUUAACACACUGAGCGAGGCCAGGGAUCGAAUCUGCAUCCUCAUGGAUAGUAGUCAGAUUCGAUUCUGCUGAGCCACGACGGGAACUUCUCUUUGGGAUGUGUUCACUUCUUUCUUGCUUCCCCAGUUUGCUAAGGGCUACAUGAACUGAUAUAAGUAUCCACCAGCGUGGGUGCCUAGCAGCUGCUCAGUAAAUGCUGGUUUCCAUCACCCUCCCCUGUCCUACCAUGUCCUCUUAACACGGUGCUGUUCCCAUGAUGGGAUGGAAUUGCAGACAUCAAGGAGGGAGCUGUCUCACAACCUUGGGUGGGUCCAGCUCAACACUGCACACAUCUCAACAGACAACUGCCUGUUCCACCUGCUGCAGUGAAUUGACCCACCACAAAAGAAAAGGUUAGACCUCCCUCACAAACAAGUAGCAUUCAUGGAAUUAGACUGCCUCUGAAGGAAUACUGGCAGCCAGCAACUCGCUCACACUGAGACUGACCAGGAGUUGGCUGAGGUGCCUGCAGGUACCCGUGGAAGCUGAUGAAGCCUGAGUGAGGAGGAUGCGUCGUGCAAACACACCACCCAUCCCUGAUGACAUGGCUGCCACCAGCAGCUUUCCAUACUCGGUCUUCUAGAAGGCUCCUGAGAACAUGCCACCUCCUCUCUGAAGCCCUCUCCUCCUCUUCCCAGCCAGCUGGCCACUCCUUGCUUUGUGCCCCACUCGAACCCCCUGGCAGUAUCUUUAGUGAGCCUUUGAGGGGAGACCUGGAUCUCAUUCAUCUUGGCACUCGAGACACCAGCACACAGUAGGCAGUUAACAGCUGAUGACUGAAUGAAUAACCACAGGAGGAAAUCAAGGACCUUGAGAACUAUUUUCCAGAGAAAACAUCUUACAGAAGCUCUUUGGAUAUAAUGAGUCUCCUAGGAAGAGAAGAGUGAAUAUUUUCCUUCUCCUCUAAUGUCUUUUUUUAAGAAAAGAAUGAAGAGGAAAGGGAAAAAGGAAAACCUUACCACCAGGAAACUCUGCAGGGUACCAUUGGAAGCUGUGGAAAAGGCUUGGUGAUUGAUUAGUCAUGCCUGCUGGGGAGAGGGCAGGGAGAGGAGGGCAGCCCUUCUGCCUGACAGCUGCCGUCUCUCUUAAACCUUUAACUAGCAACCAAAUGAGUGCAAAUGCAGCUUAACCAGUGAAGUAUGGCCUUUUCUUCAACCUUUAAUUGGUAUAUUUAGCAAAUAUGUUUUACUAUUAAAAUGAAAAUGGGGUGGAAAAUAGACUUCAUUUUAUAAUCCAUAUUGAGGACAUAUUGGUAUCCUAUCAACAGAAAAGAUUCUUCUAAUGAAUGAAAAGGAACGCAACCCCCAUAUGACUGAUGACUGAUUAUUCCUUCUGGCUAGAAAAGGAUGAUGAUAGUCCUGCAGAGGAGGGGUGUUGCUUGUAUAGCAAAGGCCUCCUGUAGGGGUGAGUCUGUGUCCCGGGUAAUCCUUAGACUUAAAAUCAGAACAUCCAUGUUUUCCUCCCAACUUUCUUUUAAUUGGAAAAUUUCAGGACUCCCCUGGUGGCUCAGCAGGUUAAGGAUCCAGCAUUGUUACUGUUGUGGCUCUGGCUACUCCUGUGGUUUGGGUAUGAUCCCUGGCUGGCAAACUUCCACCUGGUGCAGGUGUGGCAAAAAAAAACAAACAAAAAAAUCCAAAAAAAAAAAACAAAAAAAAA